rnacentral:rRNA from 1 species
CUACGGAUGGUGCGAGCGUUGUUCGGAAUUACUGGGCGUAAAGGGCGCGUAGGCGGCGAUGUAAGUCAAAUGUGAAAGUCCUCGGCUUAACCGGGGAAGUGCAUCUGAAACUGCAUUGCUUGAGUAUGGGAGAGGAAAGUGGAAUUCCCGGUGUAGAGGUGAAAUUCGUAGAGAGCGGGAGGAAUACCGGUGGCGAAGGCGACUUUCUGGACCAAUACUGACGCUGAGGCGCGAAAGCGUGGGGAGCAAACAGGAGUAGAAACCCUAGUAGUCC